rnacentral:misc_RNA from 1 species
CGUAGGUGAACCUGCGGAAGGAUCAUUAUUGUAUAACCGAGGUGCGAGGGCUGUCGCUGACCCGAAAGGUCGUGCACGCCCGAGUGCCCUCACACACAUCCAUCUCACCCCUGUGUGCACCACCGCGUGGGUCCCCCUUUGGCUUGUUCGGAGGGGGGCUUACGUUUUCACACAAACUUUGUAUGCAGUGUAGAAUGUAUUUUUUGUUUUUGCGAUCACGCAAUCAAUACAACUUUCAACAACGGAUCUCUUGGCUCUC